rnacentral:rRNA from 1 species
UGGGAUAUAUUGGUCGUGCUUUUAGGGGCAUGAAUCGGUGUGUAGCCAAUUUCUUACCUUCUGGUGAAUUGGGAUGCUUCUUAAUUGGGUGUUUCAAUGAACUAGGACCUUUACUUUGAAAAAAUUAGAGUGUUUAAAGCGGGCAUUUUUGCUUGAAUACAUUAGCAUGGAAUAAUAAAAUAGGACGGCGUUCUAUUUUGUUGGUUUUAGAACCACGU